UACGGAGGAUCCAAGCGUUAUCCGGAAUCAUUGGGUUUAAAGGGUCCGUAGGCGGUUUGGUAAGUCAGUGGUGAAAGCCCAUCGCUCAACGGUGGAACGGCCAUUGAUACUGCCAGACUUGAAUUAUUAGGAAGUAACUAGAAUAUGUAGUGUAGCGGUGAAAUGCUUAGAGAUUACAUGGAAUACCAAUUGCGAAGGCAGGUUACUACUAAUGGAUUGACGCUGAUGGACGAAAGCGUGGGUGGCGAACAGG
rnacentral:rRNA from 1 species